CUCUUCACCUACAAAUUACCCAUCAGAUCUGAUGACUUUGAACGGCUAUGGUCGAGGUAUGACACAGAGGGGCGUGGCUUCGUGACAGUUGCUGACUUCCUGAAUAAGCUGGGAGUUGAUGAGGAGGAACUGUGGCCUCACAAACAGAAGCCGACCCACACUGUAACCCCACACCAAGCUGACAAACUGGCCUCCUCUGAUGAUGCUGCUUCACUGGAACAAAUAGAACAGAUAUUGUUGGAUAACCACAAGGGCGUGUUCGAAGCGCUGACUCGCCUGGACGAGACCAGAAAUGGAAAAGUAAAAGUGGAGGAGCUGCUGAGCCUGCUCCAAACUUACGGCUGCUCAGUCCAGCGAGACCAGCUCAUACGUCACCUCCGCACGCUGAAUGUUUCUGUGGAUGGCAAGCACAGGCUGCUAAGCUACUUGCACUUCCUGUCUGCGUUUGGCCAUACGGCAGAGAGGUGUGAGCCCCCUCCUGCUACCCCAGACGGCGUCCGCCGCAUAGAGAACUUGCAGGACCUCAGAC
rnacentral:lncRNA from 1 species